rnacentral:rRNA from 1 species
CAUGGGGGAGCGAACAGGAUUAGAUACCCCUGGUAGUGCAUGCCGUAAAACGUUGGGCACUAGGUGUGGGGCUCAUUCCACGAGUUCCGUGCCGCAGCAAAACGCAUUAAGUGCCCCGCCUGGGGGAGUACGGCCGCAAGGCUAAAACUCAAAGAAAUUGACGGGGGCCCGCACAAGCGGCGGAGCAUGCGGAUUAAUUCGAUGCAACGCGAAGAACCUUACCAAGGCUUGACAUACACCGGAAAAGUGCAGAGAUGUGCUCCCCGCAAGGUCGGUGUACAGGUGGUGCAUGGUUGUCGUCAGCUCGUGUCGUGAGAUGUUGGGUUAAGUCCCGCAACGAGCGCAACCCUCGUCCUAUGUUGCCAGCACGUCAUGGUGGGGACUCAUAGGAGACUGCCGGGGUCAACUCGGAGGAAGGUGGGGAUGACGUCAAAUCAUCAUGCCCCUUAUGUCUUGGGCUUCACGCAUGCUACAAUGGCCGGUACAAAGGGCUGCGAUACCGCGAGGUGGAGCGAAUCCCAAAAAGCCGGUCUCAGUUCGGAUUGGGGUCUGCAACUCGACCCCAUGAAGUCGGAGUCGCUAGUAAUCGCAGAUCAGCAACGCUGCGGUGAAUAUGUUCCCGGGCCUUGUACACACCGCCCGUCAAGUCACGAAAGUCGGUAACACCCGAAGCCGGUGGCCCAACCCUUGUGGAGGGAG